CUUGGUCAUUUAGAGGAAGUAAAAGUCGUAACAAGGUUUCCGUAGGUGAACCUGCGGAAGGAUCAUUAAAGAAUUGCCCCAUUUUUUGAAAUGGGUUCUAUUCCCAAACCGUGUAUACAUACCUUUGUUGCUUUGGCAAGCCGUCCUUCGGGCGCAGCUUCGGCUGAGAGCGCUUGCCAGAGGACCCCAACUCUUUUGUUUAGUGAUGUCUGAGUACUAUAUAAUAGUUAAAACUUUCAACAACGGAUCUCUUGGUUCUGGCAUCGAUGAAGAACGCAGCGAAAUGCGAUAAGUAAUGUGAAUUGCAGAAUUCAGUGAAUCAUCGAAUCUUUGAACGCACAUUACGCCCCUUGGUAUUCCGAGGGGCAUGCCUGUUCGAGCGUCAUUAUGACCACUCAAGCCUAGCCUGGUAUUGGGGUUCGCAGUCUCGCGGCUCUUAAAAUCAGUGGCGGUGCCAUCUGGCUCUAAGCGUAGUAAUUCUCUCGCUAUAGGGCUCCGGUAGUUGCUUGCCAAAACCCCCCUAUCUCUCACGGUUGACCUCGGAUCAGGUAGGGAUACCCGCUGAACUUAAGCAUAUCAAUAAGCGGAGGA
rnacentral:rRNA from 1 species